rnacentral:rRNA from 1 species
AUUAGCUAGUUGGUGAGGUAAAGGCUCACCAAGGCGACGAUCCCUAGCUGGUCUGAGAGGAUGAUCAGCCACACUGGAACUGAGACACGGUCCAGACUCCUACGGGAGGCAGCAGUGGGGAAUAUUGCACAAUGGGCGCAAGCCUGAUGCAGCCAUGCCGCGUGUAUGAAGAAGGCCUUCGGGUUGUAAAGUACUUUCAGUCGUGAGGAAGGUGGUAGUGUUAAUAGCACCAUCAUUUGACGUUAGCGACAGAAGAAGCACCGGCUAACUCCGUGCCAGCAGCCGCGGUAAUACGGAGGGUGCGAGCGUUAAUCGGAAUUACUGGGCGUAAAGCGCAUGCAGGUGGUUCGUUAAGUCAGAUGUGAAAGCCCGGGGCUCAACCUCGGAAUAGCAUUUGAAACUGUCGGACUAGAGUACUGUAGAGGGGGGUAGAAUUUCAGGUGUAGCGGUGAAAUGCGUAGAGAUCUGAAGGAAUACCAGUGGCGAAGGCGGCCCCCUGGACAGAUACUGACACUCAGAUGCGAAAGCGUGGGGAGCAAACAGGAUUAGAUACCC